rnacentral:rRNA from 1 species
AACGAACGCUGGCGGCAUGCCUAAUACAUGCAAGUCGAACGAGAACUUCGGAUCUAGUGGCGCACGGGUGCGUACCGCGUGGGAAUCUGCCCUUGGGUUCGGUAUACCUUCUGGAAACGGAAGCUAAUACCGGUUGAUGACGUAAGUCCAAAGAUUUAUCGCGCAAGGAUGAGCCCGCGUAGGAUUCGGUAGUUGGUGAGGUACAGGCACACCAAGCCGACGAUCCUUAGCUGGUCUGAGAGGAUGAUCAGCCACACUGGGACUGAGACACGGCCCAGACUCCUACGGAAGGCAGCAGUAGGGAAUAUUAGACAAUGGGCGAAGGCCUGAUCCAGCAAUGCCGCGGAAGUGAUGAAGGCCUUAGGGUUGUAAAGCUCUUUUACCCGGGAUGAUAAUGACAGUACCGGGAGAAUAAGCACCGGCUAACUCCGUG